rnacentral:lncRNA from 1 species
CGCACAUCCUCCGGUCCGCAGCGCUGCAAUUAGUUCGUGUGUGAAAACGCAAGUUAGCGCCGAUUCCACGGACGCGAUCACGGCGAUCGGUGUGCUCCCACGACGCGCGUGGGCCUGCAGGAUGGAAAAUAAUCAUAAUAACAGGCAAAAUUACUCGUUAUCUGGGGAUUCCUGGUUUAGGCUUUCAAAUGUAAGAAAAGCCACAGUCAGGGAGAAAAAUCCCAGGAGAGACUCCAUCAAAUGUCCAGCUGGAGAGGAUGGAUUCACCUCCAUCAGACACAGAACCCACGGAAGUGUGACAUCUGCUGGCUGCCCACUGGCUCACACACCUUGUGUGCCAAAUAACCCAAAGAUCAGAAAGUUGAGCCAUAGUGCCUUUGAAUGAUAUAUUGCCUUCUGGUCUUAUUUCUUUUCUAGAGGACGUUAUUGGAAACCAGAAUGCACUGAUUUGUUCCACGUCAGUCAUGUUGAGUAAAUCAUUUUCAGCUUUCUGCAGCUUCACCUUUUACAACACACCUGGUGACCUGACUUUCAAAAAUACCUUGUUAGUCUUAUAUACAUGUUAAGACAGACUACUACUCCAUGUACUCUGGUUUCCUCCCACAGUCCAAAGACAUAUUUUGGGCAAACUAGUGACACUAAAUUGUCAUUUGUGUUUAUGUGCGAGAAUGAGUGUGUAAUUGACCUGUGAUGUUCUGGUAAGCCAUCUACACACACACAGUCUGAAACCACUUGUCCCAAGCAAGGUCGUGGCAAACCAGAGCCUAACUCAGCAACACAGGGUACAAGGCUGGAGGGGGAGGGGGACACAUCCAGGACAGGACACCAGGCCAUCGCAAGGCACCCCAAGCAGGACUCAAACCCCAGACCCACCAGCGAGCAGGACCCAGCCAAGCCGGCUCUGCAAGCCAUCUAGAGUGUACCAUCUCAUACCUCACAACUCUCGACUGCACUGGACACAGUGAUAAUGGAUGGAAUAACUUGAAACAUGUAGAUGUGUCACAGGCCCCAAAAAAAAAAGUUUAAUCUACACCUUUAUCAUGACAUGCUCCAAGCAAUACAGUCGACCACAGAAUCAGAGCUAGUAUUGACCCGAUCAGUAUUACUGCAGUCAGCCACACAAUAGCUCACAUGCCAGGAGCCGUAGAAUAUAAUCUUCAGAUGCCUAUUUUUCAAGGUAAUUGCAGCUUCUCAAGGUCAAUUUUUUAAGAAUGAAAAAUUCAUGGAUACUGUGCAAAUACUG